rnacentral:lncRNA from 1 species
CAGGGAAUAUCUCACAGAUGAAAGUGAUCAGUUUGUAAUAUUGAUUACACAGCGAUGGAAACUUCAGCAGAUCCUGAGACAUUAGAGGCAGAACUAGAUUAACCCCAUAUAAGACAACAUCUGCAGCUGAUACAGUUCUGUUUGUAGCUUGCCCGGGCUCGUGUCCUCUAAAUACUUCAUCUGUAUCACUGAAAUCAAUGAACUCUUUUGACAGAAGAUUAGUGAGAAGCUCCAUAAUAAGAAGGAGAUCCUGGUACUGGUCUUCUUCUGCUGUAACAUCUAUCCGUUGCCGACCUAGAUUAUUCUUUGAAUAGACCUGCAGCAGAGUUAGGCACGCCUCAUACAAGUUCAUGGCUUUGGCCUCUCCAAGAUAGCAAAUUUGUUUAUGUGCAACUUCAACAAAGACUUCUAUUAUGAGAUUAACAGUCUCUGGUGUGUUUUUGUAUACUUCCAUUAAUCCAAUACAAUUAUUAAGGAAGUCCAUUAGGAAAUUGAAGAGAAUUGCUACAUUGUCAAUCUGGGUAGCCUCAGCAAUGCCACAGAGAGCUUCUAAUGUAGCCGUGAUUUCCUGUUUCACCUCCUCC